UACGUAGGGUGCAAGCGUUGUCCGGAAUUAUUGGGCGUAAAGAGCUCGUAGGCGGUCUGUCGCGUCUGCUGUGAAAACUCGGGGCUUAACCCCGGGCCGGCAGUGGGUACGGGCAGACUAGAGUGCGGUAGGGGAGACUGGAAUUCCUGGUGUAGCGGUGAAAUGCGCAGAUAUCAGGAGGAACACCGGUGGCGAAGGCGGGUCUCUGGGCCGUAACUGACGCUGAGGAGCGAAAGCGUGGGGAGCGAACAGG
rnacentral:rRNA from 1 species